ACGCUGGCGGCAGGCCUAACACAUGCAAGUCGAGCGGUAGCACAGGAGAGCUUGCUCUCUGGGUGACGAGCGGCGGACGGGUGAGUAAUGUCUGGGAAACUGCCUGAUGGAGGGGGAUAACUACUGGAAACGGUAGCUAAUACCGCAUGACCUCGCAAGAGCAAAGUGGGGGACCUUCGGGCCUCACGCCAUCGGAUGUGCCCAGAUGGGAUUAGCUAGUAGGUGGGGUAAUGGCUCACCUAGGCGACGAUCCCUAGCUGGUCUGAGAGGAUGACCAGCCACACUGGAACUGAGACACGGUCCAGACUCCUACGGGAGGCAGCAGUGGGGAAUAUUGCACAAUGGGCGCAAGCCUGAUGCAGCCAUGCCGCGUGUGUGAAGAAGGCCUUAGGGUUGUAAAGCACUUUCAGCGAGGAGGAAGGCGUUGCAGUUAAUAGCUGCAGCGAUUGACGUUACUCGCAGAAGAAGCACCGGCUAACUCCGUGCCAGCAGCCGCGGUAAUACGGAGGGUGCAAGCGUUAAUCGGAAUUACUGGGCGUAAAGCGCACGCAGGCGGUUUGUUAAGUCAGAUGUGAAAUCCCCGAGCUUAACUUGGGAACUGCAUUUGAAACUGGCAAGCUAGAGUCUCGUAGAGGGGGGUAGAAUUCCAGGUGUAGCGGUGAAAUGCGUAGAGAUCUGGAGGAAUACCGGUGGCGAAGGCGGCCCCCGGACAAAGACUGACGCUCAGGUGCGAAAGCGUGGGGAGCAAAC
rnacentral:rRNA from 1 species